GUGGCUUUUCUGUCCAACGUGCUGUGCUGUGUGUGCCUGCAGGUCAUAUUUAUCUGCCUGUCAGGACUGUCGGAGCACUGGAUGGAGAGCAGGUCAUAUGAAGAGGAUUAGGGAGUAAAAGGCAGCUUGUACUGAAGUGCAGGGAAAGUAUAAAUAUUGAUAUAUAUUGGCACAGUGCCUGGCCUUAAUGCUUAAAAUCCUUUGGAGAGCUGUCUGCAUAUUUACUGUAUUAAUGAUCAAAUGCAAGGCUGUGUUGGGAAAGGUCUUCCAUUUGGAAGUCAGUAGUUGAGACUGUCUUGCCUAUGAAAAAGAGGGAGAAUUUUCGUUAGAGGAUGUAGGAUUCUGGCUGGUAAUAGUCUUAAUUCAAGGUAUUUUUAGAGAAUUGAUUUAAUACAAGCAGAACAAAUGGCCAGAAGUGUAAUGAGAGACAAGUUGAAAUUAGAAAGUAGAUGUGCAUUUUGAAUGUAUUGUCAUAGCAACUGAUUAAAUUCUCCCUCUCUUGCUGUUCUGGGGACCUUUUAAAUGUGCUUUGGCUAAAUAAAAAGUAUUAGACUAUUUCAGAGCCAAAAGGUCAGUUCUUGUUGUCUCUUUUGCACUUUAAUUCUAGUACACUGAUACUUGCUAACCACUUAUAACCCUAGAUGCAGAAUGAGAACUUGGGUUAUUAACAAUAAAGAAGUAAACAGCAGAAAGACUUGACCUUUCUUUUGAAUUGCCCUACAGUGUUAAAAAAUACCAAACAAACCUCCUUCCCCAAAGAAACACCCCCAAAAUACCCCAAGAACUCACCAAACAGAAAAUCACCGACAACCAAAAAGCAGAAGUAACAAACAUGAACAGCAAGUGGAGGAAGAGUUUGAAAGCGGGCUGGACAGAAGCAGAAGUGUUACUGCCCACUCUUAGGCCACUGUGCUGAUUAAAUGGGUGGUGUUAGGUUUAGAUCAGUAGUUCGUUGUUGUUGGGUUUUUCGGUGGUGUUGAUUUUUUUGUUGUCGUUGUGGGGGAUUGUUUGUUUGUUUGUUUUAUUUUGUUUUUUUUCUGUAUUAAAAAUCUGGCUCAGUUACUCUCUAGUUCUGGUGUGUUUUCUUUUCCAGGUGGUUGGUGUUUCUGCAGUGUUUGGCACAGGACUGGGGGAGAUUUUUACCCAGCUUUCUAAAGCUGUAGAUGAAUAGGAGAGACUGAAUGCACUCCCUUUAUUCACCUUUUCAGAGAGUAUCGUCCAGAAUACGAGCGCCUGAGAAAAACACUGGUAAGUGUUUUUAGCUGUUUUACACCUGAACAGUGUAUCUUGGGUCACUUUUAGGCACACAAUUGCCUUUAUGUUGAGAGGGUCUAACAUUUCAUUUACUAGUCGUACUCACUGUGGGAAAACUCCUGUCCUGAAGGAGUCCACCAUUUGCCUUUUUUUUCCUAGAUGUGGUGGAGCAUAUCUUUACAAAAAUAAAGAUUUUGUAAAACAGAUGUUGCUCACUGGUUUAGUGCUAAUAUUUGAGCUAAUUGUGUGAAAAUGAUUGGGAAAUAAGAUUGUGUCUUCCAUUCAGAUGGAUAGAGAGUUCUUAAAAAUAAAUUUCCAAAGGGAUUUGUUGAGACUAUCCCUGUAUCUUCCUGCACCAGUGAAGAGUACUAGUUUGACUUAGUAAGAAAGACUGAAUUGCAGUGCCAAAAUCAGUAGCUCUGCUCACCUUGAGUUGUGGCUGUCCAAAGGACAGUUCUCUGCAGGCACAGCUACACAGAGUUUGGCUUCCCGGCGCUGCUGAAAACGUCCUAGAAUCCCACCUGACUGGAGGUUGCUUUCCACGCUUAGUCAGAAGUUCUGUGAAACCUUAGUUGAAAUGUAAGACCUGCAUAGUGACUUCUGCUCUCUGACUGGGGGACAGGCUGCUGGGUUUGGGUGAGGUUUCUCUUCUCCUAAUGUUUUAAAUGUUCUCAGAAUCCACAGGUAAAUCUUUGUCUAUGGGAGAAAGCUCAAAAUAAACAAAAGAGAGAGCAGCUGGAACACUUGUGGAAGGACAUGGGCAGCGUGUGUGUGCAGGGCAGCACAGUGGCAGGUACCUCCCCAGGAAGAUAAAGUUUACUGCAGAAGUUUUCUGAAGAGUUUGCCUUGUGAAGUAGUACAGUGCUUCUUUGUCCUCACAGCAGAAGUGUGAAAGCAGCUCCAUGUUAGAGGAGCGGGGCUUUAGUUCCUGUGGGGUUGGUCACACUCAGCUCUUCCUGUGUCAGUCACAGGUUUGGAAGAAACCCCGCUGUGUAGCUAAAGCAGUGGACCUACUAGAAAUAAUGAAAUACUUUAGAAAAGGUGAAACAGUCAGAUCAGAAUAUGAGAAAGCUCUGCUGUUGGCUGCACUGUUCCUUAGAUGAGGCGAGUAGGUGCUGAUGGAGUCUGUCCUGUGUCUGGGAUCCACAAGCAGCUUUCUGUCCCCUUAGAGCAGGUGUUCAUUGCUGGGUUUCUGUGCAGAUAGAAACCUUACCUUUAGCAAGCUGGUUGGUGUACAGCUGUUUCUGUUCCCUUCAAGGACCUGAUGCUUCUGCAAUGGGUCCCUCUGAGCUAAUACUAACACGAGGAACUCUCGAUGAAGAGCAAGAAGAGAGGGAGAGUGACGCUGAUGGCAUUGACCAUGAAGGUAAGGGAAUGAGGUCUAAAAGCUGCCUCUCAAGAAAUCCCCUCUAUAUUUCAUGUCCUGGAUGGACUGUAAGGAGAGCCUAGAAAACAAGCAAACAUUCAGUCACCUGACGUGUCAGAAUCUGUAGCAGAAGCUCAGCUGCAAUGGUCAGUGCAGGGAUAUCACUCUGUAACCUUUGUGAAAGUUCAAUUGUAAAUUUUCUAUUCAAGUAAUUAAUAGGUGUAUAAUACACAUAGACCAGAGAACUCGUUAGGCUUGGGGCAUGCAGUGACCUCUGAACCUGAUUGAUGCACAGAUGUGUCCAUCAUCUUUUUGGCCUUACAGUUUCUGCCCCUGGCUCUCUUCCCUUUUCCUGUGACUGUGGUCUUGGAGCAAUCUUCUAAGUUGUUACAGUGUGAUUUUUCUCUUCUAUAGCUCACAGACUUAAUCUUCAUUCUUUCCCUGUUCCACUGAUGGGUAGGAUCACUUAUUUCCUUUGCCCUGUAAUGUAGCUGAAGAUGGAAUAGACUUUCUAUGUUGCUUUGGCUA